GGGAGAACAGUUGGGAAGAAACAUAAUGGAAAGUGUCUUAAGGAUUUCUGUGAGGGAUUUUCAGCAGAAACCAAAAUGUGCCCUUUGAACUAUCAACCUCACUGUGGUUCUGAUGGCCAGACAUAUGCCAACCAAUGUGACUUCUGCGUUAAAGCCCUGAAUAGUGCUGAACCUGUGUACUUAAGGAGUUAUGGACAAUGUGAGAUACCUACUAAUGAAUGAUCAAGAAACAUUCCCUAACUAGAGUGUUGGGUUUGCAAUUUGGCAUUAAAACAUUUAACUUGCAA